AUGUAGUCAUUCCAAAAAUUUCAAUCCACAAUGCAAAAUCACAAAAUAAAUCCACAAAAAGUAUCAAAAUUACACAAUAUUUAUAAAACAUGACAUUUGAUCUUGAAGCUCCUUGCAAAUCUCAUCCUACAAAUAUCAAAAAAAUUCAAAUUACAUAAAAAAAAUCACAAAUGAGUAAUACCAAAAAUUAGACAAAUUCAAAAGAAAUAACUUUACCAAUGUUUUCUUCACAAAACUCUCAAGACAUUGUAUAUUCUUUGAUGUCUUGAGUGUCAUCCUGUAGAAAGACAUAUAGAAAAGUUUAGAUAUAAGAAUAUACAUGAAUAAAUGUAGGAAAAACAUCAAAAUAAAUAAUGAAAUUCCAAGACUUGAACUAAUCUUAGUAAUGAAAUCCUGCAGCAUAAGAAAAAUUCCAAGACUUGAACUAAUC
rnacentral:lncRNA from 1 species